rnacentral:rRNA from 1 species
CCUACCCUUGAGUGGGGGAUAACGAUUGGAAACGAUCGCUAAUACCGCAUACGACCUUUGAUGCGAGAGCAUCGAAGAUGAAAGAUUUAUUGCUCAAGGAGGGGCCCGCGGUCGAUUAGCUAGUUGGUGGGGUAAUGGCCUACCAAGGCUGUGAUCGAUAGCUGGUCUGAGAGGGUGAUCCCCCACACUGGUACUGAGACACGGACCAGACUCCUACGGGAGGCAGCAGUGAGGAAUAUUGGUCAAUGGGCGUAAGCCUGAACCAGCCAUCCCGCGUGCAGGAAGACGGCGCUAUGCGUUGUAAACUGCUUUUCCAGGGGAAGAAAACCUGAUACGAGUAUCGGCUUGCCGGUACCCUGGGAAUAAGCAUCGGCUAACUCCGUGCCAGCAGCCGCGGUAAUACGGAGGAUGCGAGCGUUAUCCGGAUUUAUUGGGUUUAAAGGGUGCGUAGGCGGAUUAAUAAGUCAGUGGUGAAAACCUGCAGCUUAACUGUAGAAUUGCCAUUGAUACUGUUAGUCUUGAGUACGGUCAAGGUAGGCGGAAUGUGUAAUGUAGCGGUGAAAUGCUUAGAUAUUACACAGAACACCGAUUGCGAAGGCAGCUUACUGGGCCAUUACUGACGCUGAUGCACGAAAGCGUGGGGAGCGAACAGGAUUAGAUACCCUGG